CGGCGCGUGCUUACACAUGCAAGUCGAACGAUGAAGCUUAGUUUACUAGGUGGAUUAGUGGCGCACGGGUGAGUAAUAUAUAGAUAAUGUGCCUCUUAGUCUGGGAUAGCCAUUGGAAACGAUGAUUAAUACUAGAUACUCCUUCUCUUUAUAAUAAGAGUUGGGAAAGUUUUUCGCUAAGAGAUCAGUCUAUAUCCCAUCAGUUAGUUGGUAGGGUAAUGGCCUACCAAGGCAAUGACGGGUAGCGGGUUUGAGAGGAUGAUCCGCCACACUGGUACUGAGACACGGACCAGACUCCUACGGGAGGCAGCAGUGAGGAAUAUUGCACAAUGGAGGAAACUCUGAUGCAGCAACGCCGCGUGGAGGAUGACGCAUUUCGGUGUGUAAACUCCUUUUAUAUGUCAAGAAAAUGAUGGUAGCAUAUGAAUAAGCACCGGCUAACUCCGUGCCAGCAGCCGCGGUAAUACGGAGGGUGCAAGCGUUAUUCGGAAUCACUGGGCGUAAAGGACGCGUAGGCGGGAAGCCAAGUCUGACGUGAAAUCCUACAGCUCAACUGUAGAACUGCAUUGGAAACUGGUUACCUAGAGUAUGGGAGGGGGAGAUGGAA
rnacentral:rRNA from 1 species